GAAUUCACUAGUGAUUGGCGGCGUGGAUAAGACAUGCAAGUCGAACGAGAGAAUUGCUAGCUUGCUAAUAAUUCUCUAGUGGCGCACGGGUGAGUAACACGUGAGUAACCUGCCCCCGAGAGCGGGAUAGCCCUGGGAAACUGGGAUUAAUACCGCAUAGUAUCGAAAGAUUAAAGCAGCAAUGCGCUUGGGGAUGGGCUCGCGGCCUAUUAGUUAGUUGGUGAGGUAACGGCUCACCAAGGCGAUGACGGGUAGCCGGUCUGAGAGGAUGUCCGGCCACACUGGAACUGAGACACGGUCCAGACACCUACGGGUGGCAGCAGUCGAGAAUCAUUCACAAUGGGGGAAACCCUGAUGGUGCGACGCCGCGUGGGGGAAUGAAGGUCUUCGGAUUGUAAACCCCUGUCAUGUGGGAGCAAAUUAAAAAGAUAGUACCACAAGAGGAAGAGACGGCUAACUCUGUGCCAGCAGCCGCGGUAAUACAGAGGUCUCAAGCGUUGUUCGGAAUCACUGGGCGUAAAGCGUGCGUAGGCUGUUUCGUAAGUCGUGUGUGAAAGGCGCGGGCUCAACCCGCGGACGGCACAUGAUACUGCGAGACUAGAGUAAUGGAGGGGGAACCGGAAUUCACGGUGUAGCAA
rnacentral:rRNA from 1 species